rnacentral:lncRNA from 1 species
CAGGGGCAAUUGGGUUUUCAGUGCUGGCCACGUUUUAAUCGAUUAAAACUUGGUUUAAUCGGUUAAAACAGCUUGUGGAAGAUUCCCAAAAGAGAUAAAUUACAUUAAAGCCACAAGAAUCAACCCUAUAACAUUUUAGAGCACUAUUACAUCAUUUUUUAUUAUUAACAAAGCUUUAUAAAAUGCGGAGAUCUUCAAUCCUUCUUUGUGAAUAUUGUCUUGUGCAAAUCUGUUCA